rnacentral:rRNA from 1 species
AGAAUAAAUGCUAUCGGUAUGCUUAACACAUGCAAGUUGAAUGUUUUUAAAACAUAGCGAACGGGUGAGUAACACGUGAAUUAUCUACCUUUUAAUUCGGAAUAAUUAGUUUUCUAAAAAUUCGGAAUAAAUAAAUUAAAGUUUUUUAACGUUAAAAGAUGAGUUUGCGCAAGAUUAUGGUAGUUGGUAGUUUAAAAGACUACAAAGCCUAUUAUCUUUAGCUGGUUUGAAAGAAUGAUCAGCCACAUUGGGACUGAGACACGGCCCAAACUUUUUUAAAGGCAGCAGUGGGGAAUUUUGGACAAUGAGCGAAAGCUUGAUCCAGCAAUACCGAGUGAGUGAUGAAGGCUAAUUAGGUUGUAAAGCUCUUUCAUUAAGGAGGAAAAUGACAGUACUUAAAAAAGAAGUUCCGGCUAAUACCCGUGCCAGCAGCCGCGGUAAUUCGGGAGGAGCGAGCAUUAUUCG